rnacentral:rRNA from 1 species
GUAGGUGGCAAGCGUUGUCCGGAAUUAUUGGGCGUAAAGCGCGCGCAGGCGGUUCUUUAAGUCUGAUGUGAAAGCCCACGGCUCAACCGUGGAGGGUCAUUGGAAACUGGAGAACUUGAGUACAGAAGAGGAAAGCGGAAUUCCACGUGUAGCGGCGAAAUGCGUAGAGAUGUGGAGGAACACCAGUGGCGAAGGCGGCUUUCUGGUCUGUAACUGACGCUGAGGCGCGAAAGCGUGGGGAGCAAACAGGAUUAGAUACCCUGGUAGUCCACGCCGUAAACGAUGAGUGCUAAGUGUUAGGGGGUUUCCGCCCCCCUUAGUGCUGCAGCUAACGCAUUAAGCACUCCGCCUGGGAUACGGCCGCAAGGCUG